CUUCUGGUUCAUCACCUCGGCCAGCUUGUUCACAGCCUGGGAGCAAAAAAACAAGCUGCAGUAAAACAAAGCUCUUUUAUAUGGAGACUGACCAACGGAAGAAAAUAGCAAGAGGCAUCACGGCAAACAGGUCAGCAAGGGUCUCCGUCCUGAGGUUGUGUUCUCCCCUCUCCUCCUCCAGCUCGACUUGCAGCCCCCUCAUCUGCUUCUCC